rnacentral:rRNA from 1 species
ACGCACGCUGGCGGCCUGCCUAACACAUGCAAGUCGAACGAGACCUUCGGGUCUAGUGGCGCACGGGUGCGUAACGCGUGGGAACCUGCCCUUAGGUUCGGAAUAACUCCCCGAAAGGGGUGCUAAUACCGGAUAAUGUCUUCGGACCAAAGAUUUAUCGCCUUUGGUUGGGCCCGCGUUGGAUUAGCUAGUUGGUAGGGUAAAAGCCUACCAAGGCGACGAUCCAUAGCUGGUCUGAGAGGAUGAUCAGCCACACUGGGACUGAGACACGGCCCAGACUCCUACGGGAGGCAGCAGUGGGGAAUAUUGGACAAUGGGCGAAAGCCUGAUCCAGCAAUGCCGCGUGAGUGAUGAAGGCCUUAGGGUUGUAAAGCUCUUUUACCCGGGAUGAUAAUGACAGUACCGGGAGAAUAAGCUCCGGCUAACUCCGUG